GUGCGAACGCGCCUUCCGAAUCAGCAUGUUUUUUAGGACAGGGUUUGAGGACGAGAAACAGCGUUCAGCGCAUGGCUUGCUUCACUAUAUGAAUCUUAAUGGAGCGAAGGGAACUCCAUGAGAGUGGAAGCAGGGAAAUCUUCACACGCAACAACCAUCUGAGAUCAGCCGACUAAAAAGAGACAGAGAAACCCAAUGUCGGAGGAACAGAAGAAGAGAAAAGGGAGACUGACCGACAGAGAGGCCAGACACGAGUAAACGUUGAGCAAGCUUUUCAGGAAUAGCGUGAACUGAAAGAAAAAGACUGCAAAUCAGACGCCGACUCGGCCGUGUUGCUUUUGAAAUUGAAAGUACCUUUGGGUGAACUUUGUCUUCGUGGUAUUCUUGAUGUUGAUAGUCUCUGUACAAAUGUAUUUGCUCAACCAUUUUGUUGUGAGCCCUGUAAAAAUUGUUUUCUCGACCGUUUUGUUGUGAGCCCUGUAUGUUUCUAGCUUGCUUGGUUGCAACCAUAUAAACACCUUUGUUUCCAUGGGUGUUUUGCUGUUCGUCCGUCUCGUCCCCCAGAUACAAGCCAAACCUCUUACACUGAUUGUUCUGUUCAACCUAAGAUAUAACAAUUAUAAUCUAGGAUAUACAUUCUCCCCGUCAACUAUAAAAAAGGAUGGAUUUAUGUUUAUUGCAAUACAAAUACACCUUUUUAAAAAUGUAUAACCUUGCCUACACUUUAUGAACAUCUACUUCGGACAUGGCUCCACGCAUUCGCCGGCUUCUUUGAAAACAAAUGCACAUGGCUCGCGUAGAACUGCAUGGGGAAGGGUCGUCAACGAGUUGUUACGACAGUGUUGUGAAAUAUCUACUACGAAGCUGUAGGGGGCGCUGUGUAGAGAAAUGUGCGUGCCAAAACCAAGAAAACAGCCAAGAAAUGCCCGAAGUUGCAUAGUGGGCCUUUAAGACUUGCCCCAACUCUGAGCACCUUUAAAACAAGACUGAAGACUUUUAUGUUUGCUUAAGCUUUCUGCUAAAUCUUAAAUACAUUGCACUUUCUAAAAAGCUUUUUUAACUUUGCCUUUAUUUUCUAUUUUAAUACUAAAAUCACCUUUAAAACAAGACUGAAGACUUUUAUGUUUGCUAUAGCUUUCUGCUAAAAUCUUAAAUACAUUGCACUUUCUAAAAUGCUUUUUUAACUUUGCCUUUAUUUUCUAUUUUAAUACUAAAAAGCCUUUUUCUAUUUUAC
ensembl:lncRNA